UCCCCAUCCCUGAGAAGUGGGGACCGUUAUGUCCAUUUUCACUGAUGGGGAAAUUGAGGCCAGAGAGAAUAAACCAAAGGUGCAAGGCUGCAUGACUGAGAAGUGGAAGACUUGGGCAUUGUCAAGCAUGACAGGGAAGUUCAGCCAUGGCUGAGUCAGUCUCUAGGGAUUCCUGUCAUGGAGGUGCCGGUGGAGAAACAUCCGGCUCUGCAGGGGUGCCGAGUUGCGUGAGCAGGCACAAGGGUGUCUGGGAGAAGCGAGGCACCCUCUGUGUGCAGAAUUCUGCUUUCUGGACCUAAUGGUGGCUCCUCCCUUCACUGGGCAGUUUAACAGGAAGGCUCCAGCUGCCGGCUUGGGUUACAUGCUCUGAAUUUCUGUACAUCUUCCUAUUGACUGAACAAUGCUGCUCACUUAGAUGAAUCCAAUUAUCAAGGCUUUUCAAUGGAGGGAUGCAGUGCUGCCUGUCUGUGCAGCCUGAAGAGGAGAGAGGGCGUGACCUGGCCCACCCUCUGCCUGUCUCCAUGGAGGGCCCGUGACAGGGGAAAGGAGGACCAUGGAGGCUGGAGGGGCAUUGCUUCCUGCUGUCCAGGUCUGCUCUGAAGGGUUCCCGUGGCCAUGGGGCUAGGCAGCAGCCACAGCAGGACUCAAGGUGAGGGCUGACCUGGGGGAAGUCAGAUGCAGUGGGCAGGGUGGUGUUUACCCCUCAGCUGGCAGAAACCAAAGUGCUAGCACACAGCUCCAGAAAGCUGACCCAGGGCACCCCCCUGGGAUGCCACAGUUGCUUUGUCCUGGAGUGGAAAGAAAGAGACAGAACCCCUUCUGACUGUAUAGCAAGCCCUGGGGGAGAAGCAAGGGCACUCUGCCUCUUUUCUGGGCUGGCCACUAUGCUGGGCACCCUGUAGGCCACUCUCCAGGAUGAACGAGGUGACCUACAUUUCACAGAGAACACUGAGGCUCGCAAGCAGAACUUACUGUGCACGAUCUCAGGAUGGAGGUGGGGGACCACUUACUGAUGACUCAAUCCAAG
rnacentral:lncRNA from 1 species